UGCUCCUGUGCGCAGUGAUCCAGAAGGUGGACUACGUGUUCGCUGAGAACGGUCUGGUGGCCUACAAGAACGGACAGCUGCUCUCUGUGCAGUCCAUUCAGGCCCACAUGGGGGAGGAGCUUCUGCAGGACUUCAUCAACUUCUGCCUGAACUACAUGGCCUCCAUCAAGUUACCCAAGAAGAGGUAACGUCCCACCGUCUGCAGCCUUUAGGGAGGGUCGAGGGUUUGAAUCCCAAACCUGAUAGGGUUCUGCAGUCAUGUUCUGCUGUCAUGUUCUGCAGUCAUGUUCAUGUUCUGCUGUCAUGUUCUGCUGUCAUGUUCUGCAGUCAUGUUCAUGUUCUGCUGUCAUGUUCUGCUGUCAUGUUCUGCAGUUAUGUUCUGCAGUCAUGUUCUUGUUCUGCAGACAUGUUCUGCAGUUAUAUUCUGCAGUUAUAUUCUGCAGUCAUGUUCUGCAGUCAUGUUCUGCAGUCAUGUUCUGCAGUCAUGUUCAUGUUCUGCAGUCAUGUUCAUGUUCUGCAGUCAUGUUCAUGUUCUUCAGUCAUGUUCUGCAGUCAUGUUCUGAAGUCAUGUUCUUGUUCUGCAGCCAUGUUCUUGUUCUGCAGACAUGUUCU
rnacentral:lncRNA from 1 species